AGAGUGUAAACGUUUCUAUCAGACUUAAAGAGUUAGUAAUCCCAAAAGGGAGGGUAUCAUGAGGUGUGUCCAACUUCCCCUUCCCAUCAUGGCCUGAACUGGUUUUCCAGGUUAAUUUUGGAAUGGCCUUGGCCGAGAGGAGGGGUCCAUUCAGAUGGUUGGGGGGCUUAGAAUUUUAUUUUUGGUUUACAUAAGAGAGAUAUCAGUGAGAAGAAUGAACCACUCAGGCUGAGGGAAUAGGGGAGGAGGGUGAGACACUGUUACACCCCAUCACCUUUGCCAGGUUUCAGGCCCCAGUGGCUGGUUCUCUCUUGUUCAGUUCUGUAGUCAGCAGGGUCAAUACCAUUCACUUACAAUGCGUGGUUCUAAUAGGACUAUGCCCUCCAGGGGCCUUGUUUUAACCUAGAAAAUGGUGUGACUUCCCUGUUGUCUAGGAUCAGGAUGCAAUACUACAGUAAGCCAUUUACACUUAAGUGGACUUGACCACCAAACUAUUCUCUACAGAAAAUUUUUUUUUGAGAUAUAGUCUCAUUUUGUUGCCCAGGCUGGAGGGCAGUGGUGCGAUCUCGGCUCACUGCAACCUCUUCCUCAGGUGAUCUGCCCGCCUUGGCCUCCCAAAGUGCUGGGAUUACAGGCAUGAGCCAUCAAACCUGGCCAAUUUUUUGGUUUUGAAAGACCUCCUUACACAUAGGCAUCGCUUAAAAGUUAUUCCCACAGGAUGACUCUCCUAGUACAGCAUCAUUCCAAUGCUUCAGUUCUACCCAAGAUCUAGCCUAUAAUAAAUCCGCACAAUGCAAUGUUAAAACAAAAGGCCAAGCAGUGUCUCAUAGUCUCAGCAAGGAUAUCAGGUAGGAGCAUCAGAGUUUUGCACAUGUCGCUAUAGCUGAAGUAGGCAAUUUGGUCUUGUUUACAUAUGCCAGGGAAGGAAAAGGGUGGCCAAGUCUGGGUCUUUGCUGUAAAAUAUACAUACAUUCUUUCACUUGAUUUAAAAAUC
rnacentral:lncRNA from 10 species